GGGCCUGUAGCUCAGGCGGUCAGAGCACUCCCCUGAUAAGGGAGGGGUCCCUGGUUCGAGUCCAGGCAGGCCCA
rnacentral:tRNA from 3 species